AAGCCAAUCGGCAAAGACGUAUAUUCCUUAGAUUUUAUUUAAGGUGAUCCUCACUCUUUUAAGCAAAUGAUGUCACUGGAUCAUUGGUUGCUGUCUUGACCGAUCAGUUUCCAUUUUGUAAUUUCUAUGCAUUUAUUUUAAUGCUUUUGACAUUACUAGUCUUUAGUACCUCUGCAGUUUGCGUCUAGUGAAACUUACACUAUAAACUCUCAAUAUAUGACUAUCUUUUGAUUUUCUUUAAACCUGAUUUUAGAUAAGAUAUAGAAAACAGAACAUGUUAAAGUUCUCACUUAAAAUCUUUGAGGAAAUUUUUCAUCUUGUCCUUGUUAUGUGCUUUUGCUUAAUGAGUGACUCCUAAGUUGAUUUUGGCAUUGUAUAAGAUCUGAAAGCACACAAUUAACCAUUAGUCUUCUUUUCAAUCUGACCUUGUGUUAACUGAGGCUUUGGAUGGUAGUGUUGUUUGUGAUGUAACACAUACAUACCUUAUGGAUCAUGAAAGUUUUCAUGAUGCUCCUUAUCGGACUUAACAUCCAUCCAUGAUUAUUUCUUAAGAAGGAAAAAUCUUCUCAGAUAAUUUAACAGCUUUCAUGUCCAUCCUUUUGAUCAUCUUUUUGCAUGAUACUAUUUCAAUGACCAACUAAGAGAACCCGUUGUGAGUGGUUUUGCUAGUUCCGUCAUCUUCCUACCCUUUGGGCUUUCUAUUCUCCUUCAUAAUUAUAUUCGUUCAGCAUGUGUCACACGUAUCGACGUAUUUAAAAGAUAAUAAUCAUGCCAUGCUGCAAUUUAUUUAGGAA
rnacentral:lncRNA from 1 species